rnacentral:rRNA from 1 species
UACGUAGGGUGCGAGCGUUAAUCGGAAUUACUGGGCGUAAAGCGUGCGCAGGCGGUUUUGCAAGCCGGAUGUGAAAUCCCCGGGCUCAACCUGGGAAUGGCAUUCGGGACUGCAAGGCUGGAGUGCGGCAGAGGAGACUGGAAUUCCUGGUGUAGCAGUGAAAUGCGUAGAUUUCGAGAAGAACGCUCGCAGCGAAAGCGAAGCUCUGGUCAGGUACUGACGCUGAGGCACGAAGGCUAGGGGAGCAAACGGG